AGUGAACGCUGGCGGUAGGCCUAACACAUGCAAGUCGAGCGGCAGCACAGUAAGAGCUUGCCCUUACGGGUGGCGAGUGGCGGACGGGUGAGGAGUACAUCGGAAUCUACUUUUUCGUGGGGGAUAACGUAGGGACACUUACGCUAAUACCGCAUACGACCUACCGGUGAAGGCAAGGGAUCUUCGCACCUUGCGCGAUUCAAUGAGCCGAUGUCGGAUUAGCUAGUUGGCGGGGUAAAGGCCCACCAAGGCGACGAUCCGUAGCUGGUCUGAGAGGAUGAUCAGCCACACUGGAACUGAGAAACGGUCCAGACUCCUAAGGGAGGCAGCAGUGGGGAAUAUUGGACAAUGGGGGGAAGCCUGGUCCAGCCAUCCCGGGUGGGUGAAGAAGGCCUUCGGGUUGUAAAGCCCUUUUGUUGGGAAAGAAAAGCAGCAGGUUAAUACCCCGCUGUUCUGACGGUACCCAAAGAAUAAGCACCGGCUAACUUCGUU
rnacentral:rRNA from 1 species